AACAUCCCCGCGGGAGAGACCGGGUCCGGACUUGUCCGGUUCCGGCGCCGAAGGCGCAACCGCCCCGGAAACGCUCAGGCAAACGGACCGCGUGGGAACU
rnacentral:ncRNA from 2 species